rnacentral:tRNA from 1 species
GCGGGAAUAACUCAGUUGGUAGAGUGUCAGCUUCCCAAGCUGAAGGUCGCGGGUUCGAGUCCCGUUUCCCGCU